AGAUCACUUGUCAUGUCUCCUAAACCAAUGGUCAACAAAAUAUGCUUCCUGCAUGAUGAAUGAAUAUUAGACCAUUGGUGAUGAUAGCUAGACUGUUCAUAAGCCUUUUUGGGAGCAAAUUUGCUUCCAAGCUGACCCAAUCCAUCAUUUUGUAAAUUAAGAUGUUCCAUGGCCACAAAAAGAAACAGGGGUCUUUACUGCUCAGAACUUCAGCAAACAAUGUGCCAAAACUUCAGCAAAUUAUCAAACGACCUGGAGAAGAUAGCCGUCGUUUUCGGGGAAAGAGAACGGAGAAGUUCCUCUGGCCGUUACGGAGCCUGUUGAAGGUAAAGACGUGCUUGAUAAGGUUCGAUAGGAGAGCACAAGUGAUCUCGUCGUCCUCGAUCUGCUGCAGCACGAGAAGCCAAGAGUCCAGAUCAGGGUGUAGAUGAAAAAUCCGACAUUGGAUAUGCAAAGAAAGAGAAGAGAAACAAGCGAACCUGUACCUAGG
rnacentral:misc_RNA from 1 species